rnacentral:tRNA from 1 species
GGUCCCGUAGCUCAGCUGGAUAGAGCACAGGAUUCCUAAUCCUGGGGUCACGCGUUCGAAUCGCGUCGGGAUCACCA